AUGUUAGAGCUUAAGAUGCUUUUGAAGAGGAAGGAAGAAGUUGGUAUUUGGUCCAGGAUAGUGGAGUGGUCCACCAGGGCCCUCCCAAAUUUUCUUUUCUGUGUUUGUUUUGACAGGCUAAAUUGAGCUAGGGUAACUCCUCUUUCUUUAGCUCAUGUGACCAUCCUCAUUAGCAACCAGCUGUGGCAGCAUUCUUGCUUAACUUAGAACACUGUCCAUGCCACAUAAGAGCUAGGAAUAACACUGCUUUGGAAUGUCCUCACCAUGUGGUCUCUGGCACUUGAUUGAACUCCUGAAAGUGCUUCUAGGGUAGAGACUGCUUCUUCCUUGGGUGUCUUACUAUCUUUUAUCACUGUUUCCUCUCUUACUCUGAAUUAAGGACUUUCCUUGUUUCCUAAUAUAAACUUCUCUGUCCCAUGAAAUAAAUUAUGUCUUGGACUCUUUUCUCACUUUAGUCUCCCUUUCACCCUUGUAUGCAAGCUUGCAUAACUUCUUGACGAUUUCUAGCAUGGGGAUGCGAAUUUAAAAUUAUUUAAAAUGAUAAUAUAGAUUGUGUCCUCAUUUUAUGUUUCUCUGAACAUUGUGAAAAUUUGGUUUUGAGGAGAUUUAAUCAUCUUUAACCUCCCCUCUAAAAUUAAAAAAAUUUUUUUUUAAAAUAUUUAUUUACUUUUGAGAGAGAGAGAGAGAGAGAGAGAGAGAGAGAGCGCGCACCAGUGAGUGAGCAGGGGAGAGGCAGAGAGAAAGGGAGACACAGAAUCUGAAGGAGGCUCCAGGCUCUGAGCUGUCAGCACAGAGCCGGACGUGGGGCUCGAACUCACAAACUGCGAGAUCAUGCCCUGAGCCAAAGUGAGAUGCUUAACCAACUGAGCCACCCAGGCACCCCUAAAAUUUACUUACACUUUUUCUUUAGCAUUCUCUCCUUAUUCUGAGUGGCUCUCAUUCCUACUCUUUUUUCACAUUUGUUAAGUCCCUGAUUUUGUUUACAUAUAUUUUCUGGAGAGCUUGUCUCUCUAGCUAGAUUUUUAAGCUCCUGAAAAGCAUUAAUUUUAUCCUUUCUUCUUUGUUUCACAAAAUGUGAAGUAUAGGUGCCUUGUUAGAUAAUAGGCAAUAAGGAAUAUGUUAGAAUUAUGCAAUUGUAACAAGAUUAUUGAUUAUUACAUUGUCAACAGUUAGUCAUCUCUUUCAGUCACUUGUGGAAUAGGAAAGCUUUAUUUAAAUUUAACUGUCCUAUGGGGUGUGUGGGUGGCUCAGUCAGUUGAGCCUCGGACUCUUGAUUUCGGCUCUCAGGGUCAUGGGAUGAAGUCCUGUGUCGGGCUCCACACUGAGCAUGGAGUCUGCUUGAGACUCUUUCCCCUCCUGCUCCCCCCCAACAACAAAAAAAUUAAAUUUCACUGUCAAGUAAUUAAAAGUCAUGUCUUGGCCAGAAAGGUAGGAACUUAAAAAUACUUAAUUGUAUACUUUUCAUUAGUAAUUUUUAAAAUGUUCAGUACUUCUGGUAAGUAUUCGUUCCUUUGUCCUAAUUUAUAUUAAAAUAUUUAGGUAAAAAUUAUCAAUAUAAAAUUAUUUGAGAAAAUGUUUACUUGUUUUUAUGUUUUCAUACUUACUAUCCUAAUAUGUACUCUGAAUAUUAAAAACUUAACCCUAAUAGCUUUACUAGUUUCCAACUUGUGAUCACACAUUAUGCUAUGAGAGUUACUACUUUGCUAUUUACUAUCAUAUUUCAUUACUAUUUCUUUACUUAAAAGAAUUUUAAAAAUGGUGGAAAAGUGAGGAAUCUGACAGCUGGGUUUAUAUAUGGACUCUUACAGUCUCUGAUUUUGGAAGAAGUUUUUAACCUAUUGAGCUUCUUCCUCACAUAAAAAAAGGCAAGAAUAAUAACAAACUCAGAGCUUAUUCUGAAGGUUCAAUGAAGUGAUGAAUUAAGUAACAGUAUGUAGCAUGCGGUAGGCUACUCAGUAGAUCCUUUCUACUUUACCCACAUGCUAAGCACUACACUAAGCAGUUUGGGGAAGUCAAAGGAAGAAUCACAUAGUUCCUACCUUCAAAAGUUUUAUUUACAAGGUAACUGGGAAGCAGUUGCACGCAGCCUCUUGUUUGCCAUCGUGUGUUUUACAGAUGUUAGCAUUUUCCUUGUGUGAUAUGGUGGGAAAAGGGUGGGAAACAUGCUGUAGACAAGUUCAGCAGGAGUAAUCAGAGAUAAUUUCAUUGUAAUCAGAAAGAUGGAGGCAAUUUAACCUGGAGGAUAUGGUAUGUAGGAUUUUGACAGACAUGAGGGUCACAAUUACAGGAGACGAAGUUCCCAGGUUGGUAUAAUUAAAUUACCAAAGGCAGAGAUGUAGAACUAUUUGAUAGAAUGAAGGCUUCUUCCACUUUGAUUAAAAAACUGAGGAUUUUAUAGAGAGAGAGUAGUAGGUUAGGAGCCGAUUAUGGAGGGAUAACUAAUAUUGCUAAAUUUAAAAAGUAGAAUCUAUAUGCUUUGUUAUGAUUACCUUUAUAAAAAUCAAAAGUGGGCCUUUUUAUUGCAAGGUUAAAUUGUGGAUAUUGCCACAAAGCAUGGAAAGCUUGCAUAUUUCCCUCUGAUUCCACAAGUCACCUAGUCUGACUUUGAAUUCAUGAAGAUAGUACUUAAAUACAGUUUCUUGAAUUAUUCCUUAUUUUAUUCAUACUUUUGGGAAUUACAGGGCAAUUUGUGUAGCUUGUUUCAAAAUUGUUGAUUUCAUCGUGGCAUCUUUCUGGCAACAAUGUGGGCUUUGGAUGCUUGGAUAUUAUAGUUGAGCUUUAUGUUUUUCUUUU